GGUAGAGGAUGAGAAAUGUGUAAGAAUGAACACUCAGUGGCUAAGCUGAGUAACAUGCACUGUGUGGGGACAAGCUUACAGUUAGGUGACCAGAAGCUCUGCCGUGUACUAUGUAUCACAAUAGUACUUAAGUGUGAGGCUUCAGAACUGUGACCUGAUACAUUCACAAAGCCCCCCCUCUCCCAGGGAUGUGUGCACCCCUAAACCUGCCUCCAAGUAAAAUCUUUAAAAAAAAAAAAAAACAAAAACAUUCUUAACAAGAGGACUCAAAGGGCUGACAACACAGAUAACUACUUUUAACAGGAGUCCAGCCUGCCUGUAUUUAAAACAAGUUACUUUCACAUUUUUUUUUUACACAAAAAAUUCAUAUUUUCAGCUUCUUCAAAGUUGAGGCCACAGUUCUAUCCUCAAAACACUACCAAAAAAUGACUUUAAACAACCCUUUGUCUUCCAAAGCGAAGCUGAGUUUUCUCUAGUUCCACGGCUUCUCAUAGAACACAACUACUUACUAUUUCACUAACAUGCUUCAUGGCUUGGAGAGGGGAGGGCUCGCCACUGUGAAGAUGCCGACUCUCUGAACUCCCCCAGUGACUCAGAGUUUGUGUCCCCAGGUUCUGCUUGUCCUGCAUCCCUCUCAGGGAGGCCCUUUCCUCUCCUCUCGUCUGUCCUCACUGCUGCUUGUUGCUUGUGUUCUUCUAAGAUUAUUAUUAUUAUUAUUUUAAGACUUUAUUUUGGGAAAGGGUUAGGAGGUGCAGCCACCUGGAGAACUAUGUCACUGGGGUAGGUAGGUUCUGAGUACAUAACCUAUCCUUCCUUGUUUUGCUCUGGUGUGCAUCUGUGGUUAAAGAUAUAAUCUGUCAGUUUUUGUUCCUGCCACCGUGUCUGUCACUUGUCAUAACGGACUCUCAUCCUUCUGGAACCGUUAAGCCAAAAUAAAUUUAACUCUUUCCUCCAGUAA
rnacentral:lncRNA from 1 species